UGACGCCCGUCAUGGAGAAGGCGGCGGGCGCCGACGAUGAGUGCGUGGACUCGGGGGCUGAGACGGGCGGGUCUGAGUACAGCCGUAUGUCCUCUACUAGCAGAAUUUCAGAGGGUGCUUCUCAAUCUUCCAAAAUGAUGGUUUCAUUUUUUUUCAAAAGCAUCUUCUCAGUUAUUGGAGUUCUGAAGUUCUGUAUCUACUGCUCUCUGAACCCCAGAAAUGCUUAUUCUAGCAUAACAGCAAACAAUCUCUUCUUGUCAAAGCCAGGGGUGUUUCUCUUGUUUCUAUGCUAUGGAUUUCACAAAUUAUGGGCAUCCCACAGAGAUCCAUUUUAAGGAACAGAAGCUACACUGAAGCUAGAAACUGCUUGGCUCAUAGCAAAUCUCACAACGGUGAGAGAAGGGGAAGAGGAGAAGAAAUAUAGGAGAGAACUAUUAAGGCGAAUCCCUGCUUUUAUAAAGUAGUCUUUACUGUAUUAAUUUAUAUGGGAUAGUGCC
rnacentral:lncRNA from 1 species